UACGGAGGGUGCAAGCGUUGUUCGGAAUCAUUGGGCGUAAAGCGCGUGUAGGCGGCUUGGCAAGUCGGUUGUGAAAGCCCGGGGCCAACCCCGGAACUGCAUCUGAAACUGCCUGGCUAGAGUCCCGGAGAGGAAGGCAGAAUUCCCGGUGUAGGGGUGAAAUCCGUAGAUAUCGGGAGGAAUACCAGCGGCGAAGGCGGCGCUCUGGGCCGGAACUGACGCUGAGGAGCGAAAGCGUGGGGAGCAAACAGG
rnacentral:rRNA from 1 species